rnacentral:rRNA from 1 species
GGGCGUGCCUAAUACAUGCAAGUCGAACGAACUCUGGUAUUGAUUGGUGCUUGCAUCAUGAUUUACAUUUGAGUGAGUGGCGAACUGGUGAGUAACACGUGGGAAACCUGCCCAGAAGCGGGGGAUAACACCUGGAAACAGAUGCUAAUACCGCAUAACAACUUGGACCGCAUGGUCCGAGUUUGAAAGAUGGCUUCGGCUAUCACUUUUGGAUGGUCCCGCGGCGUAUUAGCUAGAUGGUGGGGUAACGGCUCACCAUGGCAAUGAUACGUAGCCGACCUGAGAGGGUAAUCGGCCACAUUGGGACUGAGACACGGCCCAAACUCCUACGGGAGGCAGCAGUAGGGAAUCUUCCACAAUGGACGAAAGUCUGAUGGAGCAACGCCGCGUGAGUGAAGAAGGGUUUCGGCUCGUAAAACUCUGUUGUUAAAGAAGAACAUAUCUGAGAGUAACUGUUCAGGUAUUGACGGUAUUUAACCAGAAAGCCACGGCUAACUACGUGCCAGCAGCCGCGGUAAUACGUAGGUGGCAAGCGUUGUCCGGAUUUAUUGGGCGUAAAGCGAGCGCAGGCGGUUUUUUAAGUCUGAUGUGAAAGCCUUCGGCUCAACCGAAGAAGUGCAUCGGAAACUGGGAAACUUGAGUGCAGAAGAGGACAGUGGAACUCCAUGUGUAGCGGUGAAAUGCGUAGAUAUAUGGAAGAACACCAGUGGCGAAGGCGGCUGUCUGGUCUGUAACUGACGCUGAGGCUCGAAAGUAUGGGUAGCAAACAGGAUUAGAUACCCUGGUAGUCCAUACCGUAAACGAUGAAUGCUAAGUGUUGGAGGGUUUCCGCCCUUCAGUGCUGCAGCUAACGCAUUAAGCAUUCCGCCUGGGGAGUACGGCCGCAAGGCUGAAACUCAAAGGAAUUGACGGGGGCCCGCACAAGCGGUGGAGCAUGUGGUUUAAUUCGAAGCUACGCGAAGAACCUUACCAGGUCUUGACAUACUAUGCAAAUCUAAGAGAUUAGACGUUCCCUUCGGGGACAUGGAUACAGGUGGUGCAUGUUGUCGUCAGCUCGUGUCGUGAGAUGUUGGGUUAAGUCCCGCAACGAGCGCAACCCUUAUUAUCAGUUGCAGCAUUAAGUUGGGCACUCUGGUGAGACUGCCGGUGACAAACCGGAGGAAGGUGGGGAUGACGUCAAAUCAUCAUGCCCCUUAUGACCUGGGCUACACACGUGCUACAAUGGAUGGUACAACGAGUUGCGAACUCGCGAGAGUAAGCUAAUCUCUUAAAGCCAUUCUCAGUUCGGAUUGUAGGCUGCAACUCGCCUACAUGAAGUCGGAAUCGCUAGUAAUCGCGGAUCAGCAUGCCGCGGUGAAUACGUUCCCGGGCCUUGUACACACCGCCCGUCACACCAUGAGAGUUUGUAACACCCAAAGUCGGUGGGGUAACCUUUUAGGAACCAGCCGCCUAAGGUGGGACAGAUGAUUAGGGUGAAGUCGUAACAAGGUA